GGAAACCAUGAAGGGAGGAAAGUGCCCCUCCCAAGUCCGCACACGCACGCACGCACGCACGCACACGGCAGCCUGUGCUGCGGCCCUGAGGGACGCAGCGCAGGUUUAGGUCACCAGCUCAGCAGCCCUCCAAGCUCCCGGUUGAGCACUGAGGCUCCAGAAUGCGGCGGCCGCCCCUCCAUCCUGAGAGGCAGAGCCUAGGAGACUCGGCCUUCCUGGGAAGCCGCGCCCCACCUCACGAAGGCCCAGGGAUGCGCUCGGCAGGGGCCGCACCCGGAUCCUGUUCCUCCACCUGCGACUCGGCUCUGCCCCCGGCCCCUCCUGGCUCGGCCCAUGCUGCCAUCUCGGGGGCCUCCGAGGCGAGCUGCCUGGCUUUGGCUCCUGGGCCCCGGCCCUCCCACCCCUGCCCUCCCCGUGGGCCCGCCUCUCGGGGCCCUUCCUGCCUCUUCUCCCGGCACAGCAGCAGCUGCCGAGCAUCUCAGAGCCCGACACCCUGCUCCCGGGGCCAGGGUGCUCCCCGGGGCCCCAGCAGGCUCCAGGGCUCCCCCUGACGGCCAGGCUGGGACAAGGCGAGGGGGAGAGGCUUCCGGGGCCACCGCUCAGGCCCGGGGAGCUGGAGGUAAAGCCUGACCCCCCUGGCGGGGGCUAAGGGCUGUCUGAACCCCAGGGAGGGCUUCUCCCCAGAGACCUACAGACCGGAGCUCCGGGAAGAGAGCCCCGCGCCCCCCAGCCUGGAGCCCCUCAAAGCGGCGUGGCCCUCGCAUCCUCCCUAACUGGCGCAGAAGAUGGAGGGGUCUCCAAACUCCACCCUCCCUUGCCCACCUCUUCUCCGGUUUUGUGCCUCUUGGUGGCUGGACGCAAGCUGAGACUCGGAGGAUUUGAAGAGCAUCCGGGGCCUCUCCCCGAGUUGUCACAACCCAAAAUGUUUCCGGACACUGCUAGAUGUCGCCUGGGGGAGGGAGAUCACGCUCAG
rnacentral:lncRNA from 1 species